rnacentral:rRNA from 1 species
UACGAAGGGGGCUAGCGUUGCUCGGAAUCACUGGGCGUAAAGCGCACGUAGGCGGCUUGUUAAGUCAGGGGUGAAAUCCUGGAGCUCAACUCCAGAACUGCCUUUGAUACUGGCGAGCUUGAGUUCGGGAGAGGUGAGUGGAACUGCGAGUGUAGAGGUGAAAUUCGUAGAUAUUCGCAAGAACACCAGUGGCGAAGGCGGCGACCUGGGGCGAUACUGACGCUGAGGUGCGAAAGCGUGGGGAGCAAACAGG